AUUUUAGCUUGAAAGAACCUUCAGAGACGAAAAACUUUGAUAUAUAUUUCUACCAAUCUUGGAACAAUUUUUACCCAAAUGUGUACAAAAGUUACGACAUGAUUAUCCCUACGAUAACGUCCGCAGCAUGUGGCCCGUUGAAUUCUAAGG